CAAAAGGCUCUUUUCAGAGCCACCCACAGCAGCACUUGGAAGAGG
rfam:Callithrix jacchus chromosome 18, whole genome shotgun sequence